ACUAUUAGAGCUGCAAGAGUCCUGCUCCCUUUUGCAUCCAGCCAUCCAAGAAAUAUGAGAUAUGUACAGAGUCCAUACUUUGAGGGCAUCCUUGAUGUAUCUUUUGUCCGACCUGUCUGCACCAGCUGUUUGUUGCAUUUUUGGCCAGGCUUCCCACCUUAAUUUAGAAACUGAUUGUGAUGGAUAAAGACAGCAGCAGAUGCGGUGUGCAGCAUACAUCUGCAAAGUCAUGGAUUAUGUCCUCAAAAUCGACACUGUGCAGAAGACUUGUUUCUACAUUCAUCAGCACCAAAGCAUUCAGAUUUGUAUUUGGCAUGCUUGGACUUAGUUCAAUUUUUUAUGUGCCAUUUUUUGAAAACAAUCUCUCAGUAUUUGGUGAUGGGCAGGCACAAGUAAAUUCUGACAACUACUACCUACCUACCUACCACGGCCCCCCUACCUGUCUAGUCUUUACCGCCCUUAAUGAAGAUGGCGGCCAUGGUUUCUCUCAACUAAGAUGGCGGCAGCGGCUUCUGUACCUUAGGGAAGCUGCAGCCGCCAUCUUCAUUAAAGGCAAUGCUAAGAAGCCGGCUAACAGGUAAGUGGGGUGUGUGGGGGGUGCGGAUCGUGGAAGGGGAGCGGAGGGCCCCUCAGGGGCUCCUGUAGCUCCAGGACCCUCAGGCCAGUGCCCAACCUGGCCGCCCUUUAGAACCGGCCCUGCAUGCACUCUGGCCCCCACGAUACUACGGAAACAUCGGAAGCCCGCUGCAACGAAAUUGCUGGACACUUUCAAGAUAAGAUCGCAUGUAUCCGCAGGGAUCUUGACUCCGAUGUUGCGACAGAUGAAUCCAUUGAAGUGUCUGGAGCACGGCCUUGUCCUUCAUUAUUGGAUGAGUUUCAGUUGGUGCAGCUCGAGGAAGUGGACAAGGUGCUUGGAAUGGUUCGGGCAACCACGUCUGUUCUGGAUCCUUGCCCAUCUUGGCUAGUGAAAGCUAGCAGGGCUGGGACCACCGG